CAAUAAAAGGUUGGGGUAGAUCUCUGAAUAAACCCAAAUUAACAUCAGCUGUGCUUACAAUAUAUGGAUCCAUUCUCUCUGGCACCAGACAGUACAGUAGACAUCAAAUGAAGUUAUGAAUUCCAAUCAUAUUCUAAAUUUCUUUCACCGUGUUGGAAAAUUACAUUCACCAGUUUAUCCUGUGGCAACUUUAAGAUGUAACCAUGCAGUCAACCUCUCCUUAAGACCACCAAGAUUGAAGGUAUUGGACCCAGUGAGUGCUGACUGUUUUUUAUCAAUAUCAAGUUCUCAGUAAGGUGUUAUGUUGUCUGCAACACAGGAUCGAGGAAUGUUGGGGCUGUAAAAGGCUCAGCACUACUGAGACAAGGAGACUUUCAAACAUCUACAGUGAGGUGCAUAAACAGCAAGCAAGUACUUACAAAUACAACCUCUCAUGCAGUCAAGCUUAAAAGAAAGAUGGAAGUAAAAGGA